AAUUAGAGUGUUCAAAGCAGGCAGAUCCAAUUUUCUGCCACCGAAUACAUUAGCAUGGGAUAAUGGAAUAGGACCCUGUCCUCCUAUUUUCAGUUGGUUUUGGCAGCGCGAGGACUAGGGUAAUGAUUAAUAGGGAUAGUUGGGGGCAUUAAUAUUUAAUUGUCAGAGGUGAAAUUCUUGGAUUUAUGAAAGAUUAACUUCUGCGAAAGCAUCUGCCAAGGAUGUUUUCAUUAAUCAAGAACGAAAGUUAGGGGAUCGAAGACGAUCAGAUACCGUCGUAGUCUUAACCAUAAACGAUGCCGACCAGCGAUUAGGAGACGUUGAAUACAAAACACCACCAUCGGUGCGGUCGUCCUUGGCGUUGGUCUUCAAAAGCCAGCGC
rnacentral:rRNA from 1 species